rfam:Rattus norvegicus chromosome 2, whole genome shotgun sequence.
GGAGAUUUAGCUCAGUGGUAGAGCACUUGCCUAGCAAGCGCAAGGCCCUGGGUUCAGUCCCCAGCUCUG